UAACUUAGUGGCGGACGGGUGAGUAACGCGUGAGUACCUGCCUUUCAGAGGGGGAUAACGUUCUGAAAAGAACGCUAAUACCGCAUAACAUCGCAUGAUCAAAGGAGCAAUCGCUGGAAGAUGGACUCGCGUCCGAUUAGCCAGUUGGCGGGGUAACGGCCCACCAAAGCGACGAUCGGUAGCCGGACUGAGAGGUUGAACGGCCACAUUGGGACUGAGACACGGCCCAGACUCCUACGGGAGGCAGCAGUGGGGGAUAUUGCACAAUGGGGGAAACCCUGAUGCAGCAACGCCGCGUGAGGGAAGAAGGUUUUCGGAUUGUAAACCUCUGUUCUUAGUGACGAUAAUGACGGUAGCUAAGGAGAAAGCUCCGGCUAACUACGUGCCAGCAGCCGCGGUAAUACGUAGGGAGCGAGCGUUGUCCGGAUUUACUGGGUGUAAAGGGUGCGUAGGCGGCGAGGCAAGUCAGGCGUGAAAUCUAUGGGCUUAACCCAUAAACUGCGCUUGAAACUGUCUUGCUUGAG
rnacentral:rRNA from 1 species